AAUUUACAUCUUUUUUUCAUAUUAAGUUCUUGCUAUCUGGUGUGUAUUUUACGUGUACAGAACAUCUCAAUUUGGCCUAUCCACAUUUCAAAUGCUCAGUAGCCACAUGGGACUAGUACUGAAUUCAGUAGACCCAGGGACAUCAUCAGAUUGAGGUUCAAUUUUUGGCCAAAAUACCCCAUAGGUGGUGGUGUGUACCUCCAUACAGAAGCAUAAGUCUGGUGGCUUUUUUGUGAUGUUGGCAGUCAUUGAUUACCAUUGUCUACACCCAAUAAUUCAUUAAAGGUUGCAAAACGGCAAUACUAGAAUUUUAAAAUUCCUUCUUCAUUUAUUAGAUGGAAUACUUUUAUCAAGAGAAACAUCUCAUCAACUACUUGGUUACUUGGAAUAAUAUGCAUAGGGAAGUUAGAAAAAAUGUUUGAUCUCUUCCUUUUAUUUGCCAGUUUUUAAAAUAAUGAUUUUGGUUUCCUUGCAUUUUGCAAGGAUGAUCAAUAAUAUUUUAUUUUAGCAGUAUCAUUAGGAAUUCAUGAAUGUUAAUAUUUUAUGUGUUUCAGUUCAUUACAGAGUUAACUUAAUUGCAGAGUUCUGAUAUCACCAAAGCAGUUUAUGAUAUUCCAGGUCCGUCUUGUACACUUCCUUCCACAGACCUGUAAUCAGCUAUUUCUUCAGGGAGCCUUUGAUUCCUUUUAGUGGAAAAUGGCUGCUCCAUGAACUGUUUGCUACCAAGCUAUGAUGACUUGUGAAUAGAAAGCAACAACAACAACAACAAGACACAUUUAGAAACAUUUAAGGUUUUCUGAUGCACUAUACAGUUGACCUUUGAAGAACAC